UUUGCAUGUAAACUGGAGAUGUUGUGGACAUUAUGUGCAGAGAUCAGAACAUUUGAAAUGAUGCAUCUGCAGUCUGUGGAUAUCUACAGAUGUAAUAAUGUGUUUGGACUAAAUAUCUCACUGAAUUUGGAUCGUCUGGACCUUUGAGAGUGUAUCAGGACCAUUUCUGUGAGAAUAUUAUCGAUCUGUGGAUCAUGACAAGGUUUCAUAGACCCAGAGACGUCUUCUGCUGCAGCAGGCCUCGGUUCUCCAGGGUGAUGUGGUCGAUCUGCUGGCCCAGCUCCUCUUUCUCCGCCUCCAGGCCCUCUAAGUGCUCCUGCCAAAACAGGACAUGAAACAGGAAAAGGAAGCAGUUAAAAAAAGCCACAGAGAGCAUUCUCACAGCAUUGCACUGUUAAGUGUGAAACUCAGUGAUGCUGGGAACAGCUUGGCCCCUUUAUCUCCAUCUAGUGGGCAUCUCUCAAUACUACAACAGCCUACUGUUACCCAGUAUGACAAGGUGACACCACUGACUGACGAGGCAUCAGAUUAAAUGUUAAAUAAAAGCUACACAACGCA